GGCUGUAGUGGCCUAUUCGGGACGGAGGCUCACAAUAUUCUCACCGCACUAUUCCAUUUCCUUCAGAACCCCACGACGGUGCCCAGCGCGAGUGCCGCAGUGGCCACCCACUCGCUUGGGUAACCAGCGAUGCUGUGCUGUGGCCCGAAGCCGCGAAGACGAUGCCUCAGGGAGGCUUCACUCUGCAGGGGCGUCUUCACUGCGUUUCGGCGUGCUGGAUCACACUGUCAUGGGCUUGGGGUAGAGAGGAGAGAUGGGGAUGUCAACUUCCUUUUU
rfam:Valsa mali strain 03-8 chromosome 3, whole genome shotgun sequence.